CACUUUUACUUAUAUUUUAUAUACCGCCGUCUUGAAUAGACCUAAAAAUUUUAUUCAAAAGAAAAUUCUAAAAAUUUAGGUAAAGGUGUAAACUAUUUAAAAGAUAAAAUGUAUUACAUUAAAUAAAAUUUAAGGAUCGGAUUAAAUAUAAUUUCAAGAAAAAGGAUUUAUAAGUAUUAUUUAAUUAAUAUUAAAAUUUG
rnacentral:rRNA from 1 species